rnacentral:lncRNA from 1 species
CAACACACCCAGCACGUGGUUACACUCCACAUGCUCCAGGGGACCAAGCAUGGACACAGCUGGGAAAUGCCACCUGGACUGAGCCCCCCCAAAGAAUAUGCAAGAGCUCCGUAAGCUAAACAAAAAUUCCACAACACAUUGCAUAUUUCACUAGAAACAGUUUUGCUGUUGCUGGUUUUGCCUUCACCUCCACUGCAAUUUAGUGAUCCAUAAAGAUGUUGAGGCCACACUUCAGGAGAGGACACUCAUGUCCUUUAAAUGCACCCGGCUGAGUGGCCCUAAUGAAGUCAGUGGGAGCACCAGUCUAUGCCAAAUGAGAUGGCACGGUGAGAAGCAGGAACAGAGAGCAGACUGGACAACAGGCCAAAUAAAGUUGUUCUUCUGGCUUGGGUGGUGCUGGCACCAAGCCCAG